rnacentral:lncRNA from 1 species
UUCCUGCCUCCACUUGAGUGCUGAAAUUACAGUGUGUAGAAUUUGACAGCACUCUCAAGAGCUGAGGAGAAAGCGAAGAUGGAAAGGAGUCUAGCAACUAAAAGCAGACAUAGCAUUCUCUGUGAAGUGACCUUUUCCUGUUGGUGGCUCAGUUUAUUUAGGAGAUAAAGAAGAUAAAGAUAGAUAAAGAAGAAACUGAAUUUAUCCAGUGGUUCCUCCCUUUAUUUCUGUGUCACAGUUUGCAUCCCAUGUUCAGCAUUGACCCGCAUGGCCACCGUCAGUCCUGAAAGCUUGGCUUCAUAACGAGGACUGGGGAGGUUCAGGUCUCAUCAUGGCUUAUAUACAGAACAGCUCUCAUGGGGGAGAAGUAGAUGGAAUCCAGGGAAAAAGCUGAUUAAAUCCUUCUAGAUGGUGUGCUAGUGAUUAAAGUUUUAACGAGUUUUUA